rnacentral:lncRNA from 1 species
AUAACUCGCAGCUCUCCUGGAAGUGAAUCACGAGCUUUCCUGGGUGGAGGUAGCUGGAAGAGGCACCGAACCCCACCGAUAAGACCACAGGGCAGGGCAGGGGCACCAGAAAAGACCCUCCCCGCUCUCUUGGAUGUAAGGCCGGGCCAGGUUUUGGUUGAAGGUCACAUUGCUCCUGGGUCAGAGAACUAUAACAUCAAAGCGCCUUUAUGGCACACAGCCAUGUGAAGACACAGCAAGAAGGCAGCUGUCUACAAGCCAGGGAGAGAGGCCUCACCCUAAACCACCCCUGCCAGCAUUUUCAUCUUGGACUUCAAGCCUCCAGAACUGUGAGAGAAUAAAUAUUUGUUCUUUAAA